rfam:Synechococcus sp. Tous Synechococcus-sp-Tous-C34, whole genome shotgun sequence.
CCUGGUGUUCAUGGCGCAGUGGAACCACACCGAUCCAUCUCGAACUCGGAGGUGAAACGCUGCUGCGGCGACGAUAGUUGGGGGGUGGCCCCCCGCGAAAAUAGCUCAAUGCCAGGU